GCCCGGAUAGCUCAGUCGGUAGGGAAUCAGACUUCUAAUCUGAGGGUCCUGGGUUUGAGUUCCUGCUCGGGUG
rnacentral:tRNA from 1 species